GCUUGUCUCAAAGAUUAAGCCAUGCAUGUCUUAGUGUAAAUAACUCUUAUGAAACUGCGAAUGGCUCAUUAAAUCAGUUAUCAAAUACGUGAUGGUCGCCUACUACAUGGAUAACCGUAGUAAUUCUAGAGCUAAUACAUGCACAAAGGCCCACUCACGUGGGUUGUGAUUAUUAGAUAUGAAGCCAAUAUUCCGCAAGGUCUAUUGUGGUGAAUCAUAGUAACUGAUCGGAUCCCCAACUGGGGAUAGAUCAUUCAAGUUUCUGCCCUAUCAGCUUUCGAUGGUAGUGUAUUGGACUACCAUGGCAGUAACGGGUAACGGAGAAUUAGGGUUCGGUUCCGGAGAGGGAGCCUGAGAAACGGCUACCACAUCUAAGGAGGCAGCAGG
rnacentral:rRNA from 1 species